ACCGUCAGGUUUAGUAGACGCGCGUGAGGUUCGUUGCUUGUUUUUAUUACCGACGCGAUCGCGGGUUUCGUUCUGUUCCUGUGAUCUAUCUGAGUGAUUGCCAGAUUAACGCAGGUGCAGCAUUAGUUAAUUGGCAGUUUAUGGAAAUCUGUUAGCAUGUUUCGUCUUUUUCAUAAUUGCAAUUAAGAAGCAGCAGCGAAGGCUUGGUUGUUUGGUAGAUGUACUUGACAGUGCUCGUUUUCGAGGUGUUUAGCGUGGAAAUUAGCGUUUAAGUUUGCGUCGAUCUCGUUCCCAGCAUUGUGGAAGAAGAAGAAGAACAAGAAACGAUAACCUAAAAGUAGUGCGAGUACGUGAGCUGAAGUUUGAGUACAUUUUGGAAGAG